UUUGUCUGUACUGUUGAAAUUGAUCAAAUAUCCACAUCCUUCUUAAAGUAACAGUAACACCAUUAUAUUAAGGAGAAAAUGCAUGCAGAGCAAAUUCUUUCUUUGCAGUUUAUGGAAGAGUUGAGAGCGCAGAGCAGCUUCUUGUCUCAGCUUGUCUGAUUGCUGCAGGGUCUGGAGCUCCUGCAGAUGUGUCCGCAUCUCCCUCAGCAUCUCUGCACUCCCUGCAGUCUGCUCUGCUCUAUUGUUCUGGCCUUUAACAAGACUCUCUGCCCUUCCUCGUUAGUUUGUUUGCAAGAGGAAUUCCUGUUUUCAGCUUCCUGCGGAACAUAAAAACCUCUGAUGGAACAUCGACUCAAACACUCAGUGAUCAAAUCCAUCUGAAGAGCUUUUUCCAGUCUGAUUAUUACCCUGAGGAAUAGGAGGUACAAGAUAACGAAAACAAGUUAUCUCAGCCCACAGCUCCACCUGGUGGCAAACUGGGGUAUAGACGUAAAAGUUCUGUUUUAAGAAGGAAUUUUGUCAGUUUGCUUCUUCGCCAAUUUACAUUAAAAAUGCAGUAAGCCCCAUUUGUAAAAAAUAAAUAAGUAAAAAAAUAAGUACAAAUAAAAUAAAAAAGGCUAAUUGCCUUCUCCCAGUCCUCUCAGUGCUUACUAGAAACAGCCAAUCAGAGCCAGGAGGCGGGUCUUACGUCAGCCGAUCUUGUCUUGCUAAUGCUAGUUAGCAUAGCUAACGAUGACGGCGGAAAAACGGCGGUUUUCCUGUUAUAGUUAUUUCUCCACCAUUAGUCUAUUUAGCAGUGAGUAUGGGACAUUGAUUGACAGCGCUAAGCCCCUCCUCCUGGUUCUGAUUGGUUGUUUUUGACUAUUUUUUUCAAACAACUCAAUCUUUUCAUAGAUUAUAUGUCACUUAAACUGUCACGACAUGGUGGCAGCUUUAACAAAUAUGUUUUAAAUUUUUUUUGAUAAAUGUUCCGGUGAACUGCUAGGUAACCACUCCCCUCUGUCACUCCCCUGCACCUUUCUGCAGCUCCUUUCUGCCUGUCGGUGAGGAGAACCAGGUGGACUCAAUCUUCAAUCUCCUAGCAAUCAGAGUGCAGCUACUUUUGGUGUGACUGACUUGUCAGUCCUGGUUUGAGAGCAUGAGAUGCAAACAGUGCUGGAGCAUUUAAGCUCAGAACUGUGUGAAAGUUUCAACAAGCUGUGAAAGACAGCCGGUUUUUCACCUAUGGGCUAUUGAGAUUUGAGCUAUGUGGACCAUCAUGAAAAAUAAAGAUGAGUCAAUGAAAUUAAAGUCUCUGAGUGAAAUCCAGUUCAAAGAUCACAGUGGAAACGAUCCCUUUCAAGUGGGGAUCACACAGUAAACCAAACCGGAAAAA